UACGAAGGGGGCUAGCGUUGUUCGGAAUUACUGGGCGUAAAGGGCGCGUAGGCGGUGUGUCAAGUCAGGCGUGAAAGCCCCGGGCUCAGCCUGGGAACCGCGCUUGAGACUGGCACGCUAGAGUUCGGGAGAGGAUGGUGGAAUUCCCAGUGUAGAGGUGAAAUUCGUAGAUAUUGGGAAGAACACCGAUGGCGAAGGCAGCCAUCUGGACCGACACUGACGCUGAGGCGCGAAAGCUAGGGGAGCAAACGGG
rnacentral:rRNA from 1 species